rnacentral:lncRNA from 1 species
GCUAGAACGAAAAUUAUAAUCUAUCUAUCCAACUACAUUAAAGGAAGAUUUGGGGACUAAAGAGUGACGCGUGUCUCCCCCAAACCCUUCUUUACUCUCUCCAUAUAUAUAUAUAUAUAUAUAUAUAUGCGGCUAGGAUUCUUAUGGAAGCACGGAGGGCUUCGUGCUUCCACUUUAUUUUCGAUGUUCGGACUUUCGAAUCGACGAUCGGCUCCGUUAGACUUGAUCUAGAAUAUUUGAAGUAUCUAGAAAAUAAAUUUUGUGAUUUUUCGAUAUUAUUUGCCUAGUGAUCGAAGUGGCUCAAAAUCAACGGCUGAAAAUAAAAAUCUUACAAAAUAUGAUGAUAUGACAUUAAAAUUUUAGAUCAAAGUUAUUGAUGUUGUUUUAUAUGGUAUAAAAAAUUUUCUAUCAAAAUUUCAUGUGAUUUGGAUAUGUCUACACCGUUAAACUUGCAACCGGCUCACCAUGGCCGUUAAAAUUAUUGAUUUU